UACAGAGGUCUCGAGCGUUAGGCGGAAUCACUGGGCUUAAAGCGUGUGUGGGCGGAUCGGUAAGUACCUUGUGAAAUCCCACAGCUUAACUGUGGAACUGCUUGGUAUACUGCCAGUCUUGAGCCAGCUAGGGGCUACCGGAACAAAUGGUGGAGCGGUGAAAUGCAUAGAUAUGACCCAGAACACCGAUUGCGAAGGCAGGCUACUACGUCUUGAUUGACACUGAGGCACGAGAGCAUGGGGAGCGAACAGG
rnacentral:rRNA from 1 species